rnacentral:rRNA from 1 species
UACAGAGGUGGCAAGCGUUGUUCGGAAUUACUGGGCGUAAAGGGCGCGUAGGCGGCCAUCUAAGUCAGACGUGAAAUCCCCCGGCUUAACCUGGGAACUGCGUCUGAUACUGGAAGGCUUGAGUAUGGGAGAGGGAUGUAGAAUUCCCGGUGUAGCGGUGAAAUGCGCAGAUAUCGGGAGGAACACCAAUGGCGAAGGCAGCUCGCUGGGACGGUACUGACGCUGAGACGCGAAAGCGUGGGGAGCAAACAGG